AUCUUCCAGAUUUCUUACCUCUCACGUCUAAAUAUGGGUCUGAGUGGCUAAGAAAGGAGGAAAAGUAAAACUAAAGAGGACUUGGAGUCUGUAACAACUUAAAAGUUUAUUUCAAACAUUA
ensembl:snoRNA